UACGGAGGGUGCAAGCGUUAAUCGGAAUUACGUGGGCGUAAAGGGUGCGUAGGCGGUUGUUUAAGUCUGUUGUGAAAUCCCCGGGCUCAACCUGGGAUGGCAAUGGAUACUGGGCAGCUAGAGUGUGUCAGAGGAUGGUGGAAUUCCCGGUGUAGCGGUGAAAUGCGUAGAGAUCGGGAGGAACAUCAGUGGCGAAGGCGGCCAUCUGGGACAACACUGACGCUGAAGCACGAAAGCGUGGGGAGCAAACAGG
rnacentral:rRNA from 1 species